GUCGGGGAUCACCUCCAGGAGCUGUGAAGAGAGGGCCUGAACCUGCUGCCUGCCGUGCCCCCCAUCCAGCAGCCUGGGACAGGCCCUGGGGAUGUGAAGGUGACCAAGUUAGAUCAAGUCCUUGACCUGCGGUUUGACGGUAGGCACCUCUGACUCAGCUGUGCCCCAUAACAUCUUCCUGUGAGCAAAGGGCUCCCCAGAGGCAGGUCACCUGUACCCUAAGAGGAAACAGCAGAAUGUUGCCGUCCGCGGCAGGAGAUCGCACUCGGCCCCUGGAAGUGGACCUCAGUGGGUGGCCUGCCCUGACAGGGAAGGGCGUGAGGGGGAAGGACAUGGCCCAGAGCAAGCCACAUGAGAAAAAUUACAAUAAAGUAUGGGACAUCCGCUGGGGACAGGGAGCAAGCAACAUGGGGCCACUGAGGGAAGGAGGUGACAAGGUGGGAGCCAAGGGACAGGGGUCCUGGGGUCUGAAUUUUCCUCAGCAAGCAAGUGGGAGCCAGCAAUGGUUGUAGAGCAGGAGAGUAGUGGGUCUGGACUCAUAGAGCAGCUUGUGGCUCAGGGGAGGUAGGAGGGUUAGCUGGUUCCCCAGAGCCUGUGUGGGUGAUGGGGGGGAGGGAACUGAGGCAGCAGACCAGAAGUGCUCCUGCACAUUCCCCUGCCUGCCUACCUUCUUUUGUCCCUCCUUCCUCUCCCUCCCUCCCAACAAUGCUUUCUGAGCACCCAGGAACCUGCUGGGUGCUGGGAGGACACGAUGGACCCUCGAGAAGGCUGCCCGAGGCUCCAGGCAGGCAGAGUGCAGACCCAGCAGCUGCAGCCUCGGCUGUGGGGAGCAACAAAGGCGCCUGAAACCAGGCCGCCCACAGGAUGUUGGAAACCACAGGGCCCGAGCUGGGGUCAGCCAGACAGGAAGCGACCUCAGCCCUUCCUAACUCAGCAACAGCGCAAGGCCCCUGCCUGCAGGCUCUUUCUUUGUAAGUGCCCUUGCCUGGGCCCAGGCUGGGGUGUGGCUCCCCUGUGACUGCCUUGAGGGGCUGUGCCCAAGCCAUGCCAGGUUGGGGCCACCAAAAGUGGGACAGGCCUGGAGGCCUGUUCAUAUUACAGUGAGGCAUAGACAGACCCGUUUUCUGAUUUAGUUGUUACCAGUGAAAGUUCUGCUGCCAGUCUUUUAUUCUCCCCCUUUAGAAAUGUUUUUAAUAUUGUUUUCAAAAUAGAGACUUGGCCUUACUAUGUUGCCCAGGCUGGUCUCAAACUCC
rnacentral:lncRNA from 1 species